rnacentral:rRNA from 1 species
GAGAGUUAAACAGUACGUGAAAUUGUUGAAAGGGAAACGAUUGAAGUCAGUCGUGCUGGCGCGAAAUCAACCCUCUCAUCGGGAGACCCAUGUUGUAGCGAGCCUCAAAACCGCUACAGCAUGUGUCUCACGAUGAGGGGGAGCACUUUCGUGUCCGCUGGUUAACAUCAAUUUCGAACGUCAUAAAAAGGCUGGAGGGAUGUGGCUCCUUCGGGAGUGUUAUAACCUUUAGCGGAAUGUGGUGGUCGGGAUUGAGGAUUGCAACGAAUACCUUUAGGGCUGUUCCACCUGGCUUCUCUUUGGUAUCCUGGUGACGACAGCUUGCUGACGUUGUUAGGAUUCGCCUUUGAACAGGCUAGAGUGUGAGCAAAUUCGUUAAGGAUGUUAACGUAAUGGCUUUAAACGA